rnacentral:tRNA from 1 species
GACCCGCUGGAUCGGCGUGUUGGCGGCGGCGAUGCGCGCGCCGAGAUCGAGGGGCACGCUCUCGAGAUGGGGGCGCAGCCCGUCCAGAUCC